CUGCCCUUUUACACAAACUCCAGAUGUCUGACUCCCUGAACCUGACCGUCCUAAUUAGCAGAGCCCUAAUCUUUCCUUGACCAUCUCCUGUUCAGAAGUAGAGAAGUUAUCCAUCAACAGUCCCUGCCUGGAAAGAGCUUGGCUUCUGCCCUCCACGUGGCAUGCGGAUUUCCUUUUAUCUAAGAGAAAACCUAGGCACCAUCAUGGGUAUCACCGACCCAACUCUGGACAACAUAUGGAUGCAUGCUGCAUCCAUGAACUGUUCACAGGACUCUGGAAACCCCUUCUUUCAUUAAGCAAACAUCUUAAUAAAACGACCUGCCCUCUCCUGCUGUGCAUGUGCAUUGCACACACAGUGGUAAGGCUGAUUGUGCUUAUCCUGACAUGAAUGUCCACAGAGGACUCUGGGCACAACUCUACCACACUAGCAGCAGAUGUGAGUCACUGGAAUAAGUUCUUCAUCAGUAAAGGUGCUGAAAUGUGGAGUCCAAGAGAGCCCCGGCUCUGCACAGAGAAGACACCUGGGAGAUGCUAAUUGAAGACUGAAGAAAAAUGAGAGCAAUUCCAUGGUCUCUGAUCUAAAUUAUACAUUCACCCUCUCCUGGCUCUUUGAGACACAUAAUAGAUGAAUAAAAAGAGCAAAACUUUGGAGCA
rnacentral:lncRNA from 1 species